rnacentral:tRNA from 1 species
UUCCUAGCAGUCCAGUGGUUAGGGCUCAGCACUUCCACUGCCGGGGCCCUGGGUUCAAUCCCUAGUUGGGGAA